rnacentral:lncRNA from 1 species
GGAGUAAUAAGUACAUGGUGAACUAACCUUACCCCAAAUGGGCACAAGUGAACAAGCAGAGUAUACUAGGGCACUUGAGAGAACCAAAGCCAAUCCAAUUGUUUCCUUGCAGCCAGUGGAUGAGAGUGACAGUUCCUGUUUAAGCUGGGUAUGGAAAAGGAAAAAUAGCCUAUGCUUAAAGAGUUUCCAUUAACAGGCCUAAGCGUGAACCUAUCCAACUAGUGCCAUAUGAGUCAGGUUAUCUUUCGUUCAAUUAUUUUUGGUGACAUUGCUAAAUCCCUAUAUAAGCUAGGAUUUUUCGAGCCUCUGUUUUUUGAUUUGGUUAUAUUAGAGAAGUUUUGUAGCUGGACCAUGCUGCUUAUUCUCGUUGUUCGUCUUACUCUUGAAGGUUCUUCUUCUUCUGGUUGCAAGGAAGUUAGGUAUUUUUGUUCCUCUUCUGAUUUGCAUGAUACUUGUUUGAAUGUCUCUAUCUGUUAAUUGCUCUAUUUUGCUAUGACUCCAAUUGAUUAUGAUAUUAGUAGUGGCUCCACUAGGUGAGGUUUUUGAGUUUACUCCUAAAAUCCCAAGUCCACUUUUUAUUAAUUCCUCUGAUAUACCUGGUCUUCCCCUAGUUGUUGUCCUAUUUUUCAGUUCCAAUUUCAGUUGUUGGAGAAAGAGCAUGAUUGUAUCUUUGUCAUCUAGAAAUAAAAUUGCCUUUAUUGAUGAUACUCUACCCAAAUCCCUUGCCAAUUCUCCUGAAGCCAAACAAUGGGAUAGAUGUAAUAAUAUUGUCAUUUCCGACUAUUUUUCUGUCUUAUGAUAUUACUGAGAAUGUUCGGUAUUCUGACACAAUUGAAGAUAUAUAGAAACAAUUAAAUAAGGAUAUGGAACUGUAGAUGGCACUAAGGUCUUUGAAAUUAAGAAAGAACUGGCCUCUAUCUUUUGAUAUUGCCUCCUAUUUUAACAAAUUAAAGAAAUCAUAGGAUGAGUUAAGGGUCAUACGUCAAAUUAUGGUAAUACUUGCACUUCUACUGCUAAAGCUAGUAGUCUAAAGGAAGAAGAGCAAGAUAGUGUACAUCAAUUUUUUAUGGGAUUGAAUGACAACUAUGUCAGUGUUAAUUGUAACCUAGUCAUGAUGCAGUCAAUCCCAUCUCUAGACAGUGCCUAUAAUAUUCAGCUUCAAGAUGAGAGGCAGAGGCAAGUCAAUCCAUCCUCUCACUUUAGCCCUGAAUCUGCUUCAUUCAUUAUCAACUCUACCCGCCCUUCUCGGUCCUAUCCCCCUCAGAAGCACUAUCCUUAAAGGGUGAACUUUGACCCAAAAAGAGCAGCUCUAUUUUGAAAAUACUUCAAGAAAUCUGGUCAAUUGAUUAACAAAUGCUACAAAUUAUAUGGGUUCCCACCUCACUUCAAGUUCAUCAAGCGUUGAAAGCAUGCUGCAUAUGCUGAGGUUGAAUGGUCUCCUCCAAUAAUGAGUCAUCUACGUAUGCGCUAGUCCAACAAUCCUCCUAUCAGUCUAACUCUGGUUUUUGGUUCUUGGGUUGACCGAGGAUAAAUACACCUAGCUAAUGUCGAUUAUGUAACACAUUCAUAUGCCAAAGUCUCUCUCCCUCAGUCUAGUCUUGUUGCAUCUGCCAAUUUGGCUGGUAAUAUUUCUUUAGCUAGCUGUGUAGAAGUGUCUUAUAGUACUUCAUUGUAAAGUAGAGUUGCUGAACAUAGUUGGAUUUUGGAUUUUGGAGCUAUAUAUCACAUGACUUCACACAAAGAUCUCCGAUCUAAUAUUUAGCCUCUAGUUGUUCCUUAUAUUGUUACCCUUCCCAGUGGUUAUAAUGUAAAGGUUCUCUCAUUUUCUUUUCAUUUACUUUGCAUCAUGUGCCGUUUCUCCCUACUUUUCAAUACAAUCUUAUCUCUAUGUCUCAACUAGCUAUCCAACUACAUGAUUUGAUUCAAUUUAUCUCACUUUUAUGUACUUUACAGGCCCCUUUACUAAAAAGGACACUGGAAGUUGGUAAGUUGGAGCAUGGACUUUACAAAAUUCUAAUGUCUCCAACUCAGUUUAAGCAUGUUGAUUCCAAAUAUUGUUAUUUAGUUUUUGCUGCCUUACUAUCUAUUUCAUAUGAUAACUCUCAUUGUAAAUCUUAUUUUAUUGUUUCUGCAUCAUUUUGAUAUCAAUAAAGAUGAAGUCUUAUGGAAUCAAAGAUUGAGACAUAUUCCUUUUGUUGGAAUGAAAGAUAUUGCUAGUAUUCCUUGUAAAUUUUCUUCUAAACAUUCAUUUACCUGCUUUACUUGUCCUAUGGCUAGACAAUCUAGGUUGCCUUUCCCCGAUAGAUGCAUUAAGACUUCUCAUCUUUUCAAACUUAUUCAUGGUGACACUUGGAGGCCUUAUUCUACACCUACUUAUAAUUGUUAUAAUUACUUUCUCACUAUUGUUGACGAUUUUACUAGGACUACUUGGAUCAACUCAUGGGUUCCAAAAGUAACGAUUUUUCUUUACUUCAAUCUUUUAUUUUCAUAGUUCAAACUCAAUUUCAGACCAAAAUGCAGUCCAUUAGAAGUAACAAUGCAUUGGAACUUGGUUCUAGUAACCACGGUGUCCAACUUUUUAGAGACCAAGGGAUAAUUCUCCAAACUACCUGUCCACAUAUACCUCAACAGAAUAGUGUUGUAGAGAUAAAACAUAAAUACUUGUUGAAAACAUCAAGGACUCUCCUUUUUGAGUCUAAGUUGCCUAUCAGAUUUUGGGGGAAUUUGUACUUACUACCAUAUACCUUAUCAACAGAUUUCCUUUUAAGUUGUUACAUGAUAAAUCCCUUUUUGAAUUUCUUAAUGGUCAUGCACCCACUUAUUCUCAUUGAAACCUUUGGUUGUCUUUAUUUUCAUACAAUUCCCAAGUAUCAUAGGGAUAAGUUUCAUCCUAGUGCUGGCCCUUAUGUGUUCAUUGGCUGUCCUCUUGCCAAAAUGGGUUUCAAGUUCUAUAACUUGUCUACUAAGCAGGUUCUUGUUUCAAGGAAUGUCACUUUUCUUGAGCACGUUUUCCUAUUUGACGAAUGUGCAACUUCUUCUUCUUUGCCUCUCCAUAUACUAUUCUUGUUUUCUCUUUUUAUUCUUCUGAUUAUGUUCCCACUUCUUCUCCUACUCCUCCAUAUCCCUCUUCAGUUCCCACUUCUUUUUUGCCUCUAUCUACUUCUAUUUCUCCAUCUACUUCCUUUCAUAUCCCUGCUUCUCCUUUCUUCUCUACUAUUCCUGAGCCUCUCUGUCUUCAGGCUCCCAAAAAGUCCUCUAGAGAUCAUCAUUUACUAUCACAUUUUAUUGAUGAUGUGUGUGACCUUUCUCCUUCCCUAAAUGGCUCCAAUUCUUUAUCUUUUGUUAUUCUAUGGUUUAUUAAUAGUGUUUCUAUGAAAAAGGCAUUUGAGGCACUUGAGGCUAACAAUACUUGGGUUGCCUGAAAGAAAAAAAUUUAUUGACUGCGAAUGGGUUUAUAAAGUCAAAUAUAAAGCUAAUAGUGGCAUGAUUAUGAAAGGGGACACUCAGGUGGAAGGGGUAGAUUUUAAUGAUACUUUCUCCCCUAUCAUUUAUUCUAUACUAUCAAGUGUCUUAUGGUUAUGGAAGUUAAAAGAAAAUGGCCGCGCUUUCAAUUUGAUAUUAAUAAGGAUUUUUUGCAUGGUGAUUUGAAUGGAGAGAUAUACAUGAAGCUUCUCCCUAGUUUGUGUACUGACUACUGAGUCUAUUUCUAGUUCUUCUCCCCCUUUGGUGUGCAAGCUUCAAAAAUCAUUAUAUAGUUUGGGGCACCUUUAAGGCAGUGGUAUGCCAAGCUUUCUCAAGCAUUGUGCUCUAAAUAUUUUGUCCACUUUAUGAAUGAUUACUCACUGUUUGUCAGGCAUUAUUCCUCCUCUGUAGUUCUUAUUGUUGUUUAUGUAGAUGAUAUCAUCUUGAAUGAAAAUGAUGAUACUGAAAUUGCUACUUUAAGGGUUUUCUGGAUACCUAGUUUAAGAUUAAAGAUCUGGGUACUCUCAAUUAUUUUUUGGGUAUUGAGGUUGCACAUUUUGCUUUGGCUCCUUCUUCAUCAUCACAAGUUCAUUUCUGACCUAUUGACGGAAUAUAAAUGUGCUGAUGCAACUCUUGUUAAUUGUCUUUUAGACCUGAAUGUUAAGCUGAAGGCUGAUGUGGGUGAGUUACUUCCUUCUCUUAAAUCUUAUCGCAACCUGAUUGAGAAUUGAAUUUUCUCACUCAUACGCGACCAGAUUUAUAUUAUGUUGUGCAACAUUUGUGUUAAUUCCUCUAAACCCCUCGUCUUUCUCACAUUGCUUCUGCUUUACACUUAUUGCGCUACCUCCAGGGUACAUCUGAUGUUGGUGUGUUCUUUAAUAAAUCUUCUGACUUGUCUUUGUCUGGGUUCUACAAUAGUGAUUGUGCUUCUUGCCAUGACACUCAUUUGUCUGUUUCUGGAUUUUGUGUGUUUUUGGGUGGUCUCUUAUUGGGUGGAAGUCCAAUAAAUAACAUGUAGUCUCUUUAUCUUCAGCUGAGGCUAAAUAUCGUGCUAUUAGAGAGCUGGUUGCUGAAUUGACUUAGAUGGUCUAUUUAUUCGCUGAUUUUGGUGUUUCUGCUGAUGCUAACAUCCCUAUUUUUGUGACAAUCAGGUUGCCAUUCACAUUGCUCGCAAUCUUGUCUUCCAUGAAUGCACGAAACACAUUGAACUGGAUUGACAUUCCAUUCGUCAUAAGCUUGUUGAAGGCCUGGUUGAUCUACAUUAUGUUUCCACUUCUGUCCAACUGCUAAUGUGCUCACCGAGCCCCUCACUGGUGUUCAAUCAUUCUAAGUUGUCCAAGUCGGGGGUUGUAUCACCCUCCAACUUGAAGAGGGGUGUUGGACCUCCUACUUUACAUGGAAAGACUAAUUGGAGAAGGCUCAACCUAAUGGGAAGACAUGGGCUACUAACUUGGGCCUUUGUAUAGAUUAGUAAUUAUUUAUGUCUGUUUAUUCGUUUAGAUUUCGGGUCCUGGCCUAAUGUAUAUAAAUGAUUGGAUCUUCUGGAAUAGAUGGACGAUUAUCAUUUUUUCACGCAAAUAAGAAGACAUUUUCUCUCAA